GAGGGUACAACUCAGUGUUAGAGGGUGUGCUUAGCAUGCAUGAGGUCCUGGGUUCAAUCCCCAGUACCUCCA
rnacentral:tRNA from 1 species